rnacentral:rRNA from 1 species
AGCUCCAAUAGCGUAUAUUAAAGUUGUUGCAGUUAAAAAGCUCGUAGUUGGAUUUCUGAUAUUUCGUUUUGCCUAUCUUGGUCACCAAGUGUGGCUGUUAGGUUUUAAAGCGAGUGUCAUCCUCGCCUAUUUAAAUUUGAUAUGUGCAUUCCUGACGGAUUGUUUUCGUGUCAAAUGGGCGUCAUUUACUGUGAAAAAAUUAGAGUGUUCAAAGCAAGUUUAUUUUAAUCUUGAAUACAUUAGCAUGGAAUAAUAAGAUAGGACUUUGGUACUAUUUUGUUGGUUUGCAUACCUUAGUAAUGAUUAACAGGAACAUAUUGGGGAUAUCUGUAUUUUUUAGUCAGAGGUGAAAUUCUUGGAUUUAAGAAAGACAAACUACAGCGAAAGCAUUUAUCAAGGAUGUUUUCAUUG